CCUUCUCAAACAGCAAUGUUUGGUUGUGAGUGAUACUCAUUCGAGUUAGCUUGAAAUUGCUGGCCGAUGGCUGUUGUGGCUGAGUGUCUCCCUCGGGAGAGCACUUGCUGCGUUAGGGACGUCCUGCUGGACAUCUUCGUACUAGGUUUUACCAAUUCGAGGACGGUUAGCGAGGCGGCCUGCAGUGAGUGUAGUGCUUGACUACGUUGCACCAUGGCGAACAGUGUUCUUUUAAGU
rnacentral:rRNA from 1 species